UAUUUUAUUGAACGUGUAAUCAUUAAUUAUCAUUUUAUACAAACUUGCACUCAAUCUCUUUCUUCCACUUUUUUUAAUUAUCUCCUUAAUUCUCUAAACCACCAUAAACCCCUCAAUCCCCACAAAUCUCUCAACCAAAUUAAAUUUAAAUUUUGAAAAUUUGAAAUUAAUUCUUGUUCAAUUCAAUUUCAGUUCUUCAACCAAAAAUUGUAAUAGAUUGGAAUAGUAAUCCCUACUAGCGUAGUCAAGGAGGAACACUCCGUCAAAGAGAAUUACUAUAGGUUCUAUUGUCAAAUCUAAAAAAAAUUACAAGAAACAUCUUCUAGUAAAACAAACUCAAAAACGAGUGGAGAAGAUGAUUAUGUUGCAAGGGACAAGUAGGAAGCAAAAGAUUUUGAGGUACCCUAUUUUUGAUUUUUUCUUCGAUUUGUAUAUGGACAAUUUAACUUGUAUAUCAAACAAUAGAUGAAUUAUUAGUUCAGUAAUUUGUAUAUAUUACAUUAUUAAGUAUCAGUAGAUGUAUAAAUAAUCAUGUGUUAUUGUAAUGUUAAAGAUAUACAAAUCGAACUGAGUUAGUUAUAUAAAUAUAAUUAUUUACUUAAAGAAGUUAAUGAUGUUUAUUAGGGAGUCCAAUUUAUAGUCAAUGAAGGUCCAAGAGAAGCCCCAAGCAUUAUAUGUUAUACGAAUGUGGACGUAAUGGAGGAUCUGGCCGAAAAAACUUUCAGAAGAUCAACUAAAGUGCUUUUGUGAAAUAGAAUAUUUUGCUCAGUUCAAGCAUAACAAAUUGCGUAAAAUCCGUAGAAUACAUAAAUUUUUGUAUAAACAUAACGAUGGUAUAAAAUUAAUAUAAUGUAUAAUGUACGCAUU